rnacentral:lncRNA from 1 species
CGCCAGGGGAUGCAAACCCUUCUGCCCCUUUUUGCUACCCCUGAAGCUUACUGUUAGUGGUCGAGUUUUUCUGGAAGUGGGCUUCCGCGAUCGCGGGGACCAACGCCCUGAGCUCUUGUGCCCAAAGGGGAUCGCCAGGUUUUUUGAUGCGGAUCGAAAGGGACUGGCCCCGGAGCCUACAACCUGACGCAGGUGGACAAGGUGGAGGAGAGAGAAUUCCUUGGCAGUAGCAUUAUGAACAAAUGCAGGGCUGAGAAACAGCAUGGUGGCCUUGACUAAGUUUAUGGCGACAGCAG